rnacentral:rRNA from 1 species
CUCAGAUUGAACGCUGGCGGCAUGCCUUACACAUGCAAGUCGAACGGCAGCACGGGAGCAAUCCUGGUGGCGAGUGGCGAACGGGUGAGUAAUAUAUCGGAACGUGCCCAGUCGUGGGGGAUAACGCAGCGAAAGCUGUGCUAAUACCGCAUACGAUCUCUGGAUGAAAGCGGGGGACUCGCAAGAGCCUCGCGCGAUUGGAGCGGCCGAUAUCAGAUUAGCUAGUUGGUGGGGUAAAAGCCCACCAAGGCGACGAUCUGUAGCUGGUCUGAGAGGACGACCAGCCACACUGGAACUGAGACACGGUCCAGACUCCUACGGGAGGCAGCAGUGGGGAAUUUUGGACAAUGGGCGCAAGCCUGAUCCAGCAAUGCCGCGUGCAGGACGAAGGCCUUCGGGUUGUAAACUGCUUUUGUACGGAACGAAACGGUCCUUUCUAAUAAAGAGGGCUAAUGACGGUACCGUAAGAAUAAGCACCGGCUAACUACGUG